AUUGAACGCUGGCGGCAGGCCUAACACAUGCAAGUCGAACGGUAGCACAGAGAGCUUGCUCUCGGGUGACGAGUGGCGGACGGGUGAGUAACGUCUGGGAAACUGCCCGAUGGAGGGGGAUAACUACUGGAAACGGUAGCUAAUACCGCAUAACGUCGCAAGACCAAAGUGGGGGACCUUCGGGCCUCACACCAUCGGAUGUGCCCAGAUGGGAUUAGCUAGUAGGUGGGGUAAUGGCUCACCUAGGCGACGAUCCCUAGCUGGUCUGAGAGGAUGACCAGCAACACUGGAACUGGGACACGGUCCAGACUCCUACGGGAGGCAGCAGUGGGGAAUAUUGCACAAUGGGCGCAAGCCUGAUGCAGCCAUGCCGCGUGUAUGAAGAAGGCCUUCGGGUUGUAAAGUACUUUCAGCGGGGAGGAAGGCGGUGAAGUUAAUAGCUUCACCGAUUGACGUUACCCGCAGAAGAAGCACCGGCUAACUCCGUGCCAGCCGCCGCAGUAA
rnacentral:rRNA from 1 species